GGAAGGUGAGCGCCGCUGGGCGGCGGGGUCUCUUGAAAAGAUUACGCUCCGUGAGGAGUCGGGUUCGAUUCCUGCGCCUUCCUCCA
rnacentral:tRNA from 1 species